AAUCCAUGGUGUAGGCAUAUCUAAAUUACUGUUUUAAAACAUUCCCAACCUUCGUGAAAACUUUCUCCUUUUAAUUGUUUAAAACUUGUGAUUUCCCUUCUUAAUU
rfam:Gossypium raimondii Chr01_contig_1254, whole genome shotgun sequence.